rnacentral:rRNA from 1 species
GAUGAACGCUAGCUACAGGCUUAACACAUGCAAGUCGAGGGGCAGCAUGGUCUUAGCUUGCUAAGGCCGAUGGCGACCGGCGCACGGGUGAGUAACACGUAUCCAACCUGCCGUCUACUCUUGGACAGCCUUCUGAAAGGAAGAUUAAUACAAGAUGGCAUCAUGAGUUCACAUGUUCACAUGAUUAAAGGUAUUCCGGUAGACGAUGGGGAUGCGUUCCAUUAGAUAGUAGGCGGGGUAACGGCCCACCUAGUCUUCGAUGGAUAGGGGUUCUGAGAGGAAGGUCCCCCACAUUGGAACUGAGACACGGUCCAAA